rnacentral:rRNA from 1 species
UACGAAGGGUGCAAGCGUUACUCGGAAUUACUGGGCGUAAAGCGUGCGUAGGUGGUGAGUUAAGUCUGUCGUGAAAGCCCCGGGCUCAACCUGGGAAUGGCGAUGGAUACUGGCUCGCUAGAGUGCGGUAGAGGGUGGUGGAAUUCCACGUGUAGCAGUGAAAUGCGUAGAGAUGUGGAGGAACACCGAUGGCGAAGGCACUCGUACUGGCUAUUACUGACACUCAGAGACGAAAGCUAGGGGAGCAAAUGGGAUUAGAAACCC